CCUACGGGAGGCAGCAGUGGGGAAUCUUGCACAAUGGAGGAAACUCUGAUGCAGCGACGCCGCGCUGAGCGAUGAAGCCUUUCGGGGUGUAAAGCUCUUUCGGCAGGAACGAUAAUGACGGUACCUGCAGAAGAAGCUGCGGCUAACUACGUGCCAGCAGCCGCGGUAAU
rnacentral:rRNA from 1 species